rnacentral:rRNA from 1 species
AGUGAACGCUGGCGGCAGGCCUAACACAUGCAAGUCGAGCGGCAGCGCGUCCGACCACCCUCGGGUGGUCGGAUGGCGGCGAGCGGCGGACGGGUGAGGAAUGCAUCGGAAUCUGCCUCGUUGUGGGGGAUAACGUAUGGAAACGUACGCUAAUACCGCAUGCGCCCUACGGGGGAAAGUCGGGGACCGCAAGGCCUGACGCGAUUGGAUGAGCCCAUGUUCGAUUAGCUAGUUGGCGGGGUAAAGGCCCACCAAGGCGACGAUCGAUAGCUGGUCUGAGAGGAUGAUCAGCCACACUGGAACUGAGACACGGUCCAGACUCCUACGGGAGGCAGCAGUAGGGAAUAUUGGACAAUGGGGGCAACCCUGAUCCAGCCAUGCCGCGUGAGUGAAGAAGGCCCUCGGGUUGUAAAGCUCUUUUGUCCGGAAAGAAAGCAAUCGGUUAAUACCCGGUUGUCCUGACGGUACCGGAAGAAUAAGCACCGGCUAACUUCGUGCC